rnacentral:rRNA from 1 species
UACUCUUGACAUCCAGAGAACCCUUUAGAGAUGGAGGGGUGCCUUCGGGAGCUCUGAGACAGGUGCUGCAUGGCUGUCGUCAGCUCGUGUUGUGAAAUGUUGGGUUAAGUCCCGCAACGAGCGCAACCCUUAUCCUUGUUUGCCAGCACGUAAUGGUGGGAACUCCAGGGAGACUGCCGGUGAUAAACCGGAGGAAGGUGGGGACAACGUCAAGUCAUCAUGGCCCUUACAAGUAGGGCUACACACGUGCUACAAUGGCAGAUACAGAGGGCAGCGAACCUGCGAAGUGGAGCGAAUCCCUUAAAGUUUGUCGUAGUCCGGAUUGGAGUCUGCAACUCGACUCCAUGAAGUCGGAAUCGCUAGUAAUCGUGGAUCAAAAUGCCACGGUGAAUACGUUCCCGGGUCUUGUAACACACCGA